rnacentral:lncRNA from 1 species
GAGUUCCCCGUAACCGGACCUCGAGGUUCCCGAAACGUUCAGAUCACAACGGGACCCAAAAUCAGUGACUAAUAGCAUACAAAACUGGGGGGAAUAGGCCAAAACUGUGAGUUUUAAUGAGUUCCACGUAAUCGGACCCCGGGGUUCCCGAAACGUUCGGUUCACAGCGGGGCCCAAAAUCAGUGAGUAAUAGCAUACAAAACUAGCCACAAUAGACCAAAACUGCGAGUUUUGACGAGUUCCCCGUAACCGGACCCCGGGGUUCCCGAAAUGUUUGGAUCGCAGCGGCAACCAAAAUCAGUGAGUAAUAGCAUAC